rnacentral:ncRNA from 1 species
GUAUCGAUUGGUUGAAAGGCCUGAAAGAGAACGUUGUUUUUUUUUUUUUGGGGGGGGGGGGGGGGGGGGUGAUACCCGUUGGUACCGGAUUCAAGGGAUUAGUGCACCCUUCAAAACAACAUAACAACAUUCCUUUGGAAACAAAAAAACAAAUCUAUUCGAGAUGCGAAAGCACUCCGCUGGGCCGACACUGACACUGAGAGACGAAAGCUAGGGGAGCGAAUGGGAUUAGAUACCCCAGUAGUCCUAGCCGUAAACGAUGGAUACUAGGCGCUGUGCGUAUCGACCCGUGCAGUGCUGUAGUUAACGCGUUAAGUAUCCCGCC